GAUGAAGAACGUAGCGAAAUGCGAUAAGUAGUGUGAAUUGCAGAAUUCAGUGAAUCAUCGAAUCUUUGAACGCACAUUGCGCCCUUUGGUAUUCCAAAGGGCAUGCCUGUUCGAGCGUCAUUUGUACCCUCAAGCUUUGCUUGGUGUUGGGCGUCUUGUCUCUAGCUUUGCUGGAGACUCGCCUUAUAGUAAUUGGCAGCCGGCCUACUGGUUUCGGAGCGCAGCACAAGUCGCACUCUCUAUCAGCAAAGGUCUAGCAUCCAUUAAGCCUUUUUUUCAACUUUUGACCUCGGAUCAGGUAGGGAUACCCGCUGAACUUAAGCAUAUCAAUAAGCGGAGGA
rnacentral:misc_RNA from 1 species